rnacentral:rRNA from 1 species
AGCCUGAUCCAGCCAUGCCGCGUGAUUGAUGAAGGCCCUACGGGUUGUAAAGAUCUUUCAACAGUGAAGAUAAUGACGGUAACUGUAGAAGAAGCUCCGGCUAACUCCGUGCCAGCAGCCGCGGUAAUACGGAGGGAGCUAGCGUUGUUCGGAAUUACUGGGCGUAAAGCGCGCGUAGGCGGAUUAUUAAGUCAGAGGUGAAAUCCCGGGGCUCAACCCCGGAACUGCCUUUGAUACUGGUAGUCUAGAGGUCGAGAGAGGUGAGUGGAAUUCCGAGUGUAGAGGUGAAAUUCGUAGAUAUUCGGAGGAACACCAGUGGCGAAGGCGGCUCACUGGCUCGAUACUGACGCUGAGGUGCGAAAGUGUGGGUAGCAAACAGGAUUAGAUACCCUGGUAGUCCACACCGUAAACGAUGAAUGCUAGUCGUCAGGGGACUUGUCCUUUGGUGACGCAGCUAACGCAUUAAGCAUUCCGCCUGGGGAGUACGGUCGCAAGAUUAAAACUCAAAGGAAUUGACGGGGG